rnacentral:tRNA from 4 species
GGGGAGAUACCAGAGUGGCCAAAUGGGACAGACUGUAAAUCUGUUGCUUAAUUGCUUCGAAGGUUCGAAUCCUUCUCUCCCCA